rnacentral:lncRNA from 1 species
AUUAAGGUCGAUUCUUAAGUUCUUGCUUGAUCAGCUGGUUAGAUUGUGUCAUUUACUAAGCUAGGUUGGGCACGGCCAGCACAAGUUCUGUUUGGUAGCAAUUAAUUGGCAAUAUCUUAUAGCAAUUCAAGGAGAAGUAUCGAUUAGUUGGAUACACAUAUUGGCAGCUCUUUGGGGAGUUCAAACCCAAAACCAGAGUUUUCUUCCCUACCUUCCACAGACGGUGAACCCAAUGCUGAAGCUGCUCUGAGAGUGCUGGGCCAUCUUAGGAGAGCCUGUCGUCCCACUGGUGAAAUAAAUGGCCACUGGUUCUUGACUUCCUGUUUCCACACAGCUGUGCUCUUCAGAGGCGGAUCUGCAAAAUAUGGAUGGACCCCAAGAUGGUGGUAUGAAGAAAUAGAAGAAGAGCAUUGCAAUAACUAUCAAUAUUUGUGUGGCCUAAUAUUAAUAACUGGUAGGACAAUAAUUCCAGUUCUGGCCAGACAUUGUGGCUAAUGCCUAUAAUCCCAGCACUUUGGUAGGCCAAGGCAGGUGGAUCACUUCAGAUCAGAAGUUCAAGACCAGGCUGGCCAACAUGGUGAAACCUCAUCUCUACUAAGAAUACAAAAAUUAGCCAGGUAUGAUGGCAUGUUUCUGUAGUCCCAGCUACUCAGAAGGCUGAGGCAGAAGAAUUUUUCAGACCCAGGAGGCAGGGGUGACAGUGAGCUGAGAUCAUGCCACUGAACUCCAGCCUGGGUGACAGAAUGAGACUGUCUCAAAAAAAAAAAUCUGCGAAGGACAUCUUCAAGGAGAGCUACAAACCACUGCUCAAGAAAAUAAGAGAGGACACAAACAAAUGGGAAAACAUUUCAUGCUCAUGGAUAGGAAGAAUCAAUGUAGUGAAAAUGGUCAUACUGCCCAAAGUAAUUUGUAGAUUCAAUGCUAUUCCCAUCAAGCUACCAGUGACUUUCUUUGCAGAAUUAGAAAAAACUACUUUAAAUUUCAUAUGGAACAAAAAAGAGCCCAUAUAGCCAAGACAAUCCUAAGCAAAAAGAACAAAGCUGGAGGCAUCAUGCUACCUGACUUCAAACUAUACUACAAGGCUACUGUAACCAAAACAGCAUGGUACUGGUGCCAAAACAGAUAUAUGGACCAAUGGAACAGAACAGAGACCUCAGAAAUAACACUAUACAUCUACAGCCAUCUGAUCUUUGACAAACCUGACAAAAGCAAGCAGUGGGAAAAGCAUUCCCUAUUUAAUAAAUGGUGCUGGGAAAACUGGCUAGCCAUAUGCAGAAAACUAAAACUGGACUCCUUCAUUACACCUGAUACAAACAUUAACUCAAGAUGGAUUAAAGACCUAAAUGUAAAACCCAAAACCAUAAAAGCCCUGGAAGAAAACCUGGGCAAUGCCAUUCAGGACACAGGCGUGGGCAAAGACUUCAUGAGUAAAACACCAAAAGCAAUUGCAACAAAAGCCAAAAUUGACAAAUGGGAUCUAAUUAAACUAAAGAGCUCUGCACAGCAAAAGAGACUAGCAUCACAGUGAACAGGCAACCUACAGAAUGGGAGAAAAUGUUUGCAAUCUACCCAUCCGACAAAUGGCUAAUAUCCAGAAUCUACAAGGAACUGAAACAAAUUGAUAAGAACAAAAACAAACAACCCCAUCAUAAAAUAGGCAAAGGAUAUGAACAGAUAGUUCUCAAUAGGAGAUAUUUAUUCAGCCAACAAACAUUUGAAAAAAAGCUCAUCAUCCCUGGUCAUUAGAGAAAUGCAAAUCAAAAUCACAAUGAGAUACCAUCUCACGUCAGUCAGAAUGGUGAUUAUUAAAAAGUCAGGAAACAUUUGGGAGGCCAAGAUGGGCAGAUCACGAGGUCAGGAGUUUGAGACCAGCCUGGCUAACAUGGUGAAACCCCAUCUCUACUAAAGAUACAAAAAAUUAGCCGGGCAUGGUGGCACAUGCCUGUAAUCCCAGCUAUUCAGAAGGCUGAGGCCGGAGAAUGGCUUGAACCUGGGAGGUGGAGGUUGCAGUGAGUCACGAUUGCACCAUUGCACUCCAGCCUGGGCAACAGGGCAAGACUCUGUCUUAUAAAAAAAGAAAAGUCAGGAAACAACAGAUGCUGGCAAAGCUGUGGAGAAAUGGGAGCACUUCUACACUGUUGGUGGGAGUGUAAAUUAGUUCAGUUAUUGUGGAAGACAGUGUGGGGAUUUCUCAAGGACCUAGAACCAGAAAUACUAUUUGACCCAGCAAUCCCAUUACUGGGUAUAUACCUAAAGGAUUAGAAAUCAUUCUACUAUAAAGAUACAUGCACAUGUAUGUUUAUUGCAGCACUAUUUACAGUAGCAAAGACUUGGAACCAACCAGAAUGCCCAUCCAUGCUAGACUGGAUGAAGAAAAAGUGGCACAUAUACACCAUGG